GAUGAACGCUGACAGAAUGCUUAACACAUGCAAGUCUACUUGAAUUUGGGUUUUUUAACUUAGAUUUGGGUGGCGGACGGGUGAGUAACGCGUAAAGAACUUGCCUCACAGCUAGGGACAACAUUUGGAAACGAAUGCUAAUACCUGAUAUUAUGAUUAUAAGGCAUCUUAGAAUUAUGAAAGCUAUAUGCGCUGUGAGAGAGCUUUGCGUCCCAUUAGCUAGUUGGAGAGGUAACGGCUCACCAAGGCGAUGAUGGGUAGCCGGCCUGAGAGGGUGAACGGCCACAAGGGGACUGAGACACGGCCCUUACUCCUACGGGAGGCAGCAGUGGGGAAUAUUGGACAAUGGACCAAGAGUCUGAUCCAGCAAUUCUGUGUGCACGAUGACGUUUUUCGGAAUGUAAAGUGCUUUCAGUUGGGAAGAAAAAAA
rnacentral:rRNA from 1 species